rnacentral:rRNA from 1 species
AGGAGGCAGCAGUGAGGAAUAUUGGACAAUGGGCGCAAGCCUGAUCCAGCAAUGCCGCGUGUGUGAAGAAGGCCUGCGGGUUGUAAAGCACUUUAAGCAGGAAAGAAGGGGUGGGGGUUAAUACCCUCCAUCAUUGACGUUACCUGCAGAAUAAGCACCGGCUAACUCCGUGCCAGCAGCCGCGGUAAUACGGAGGGUGCGAGCGUUAAUCGGAAUUACUGGGCGUAAAGCGCGCGUAGGCGGUUGGCUAAGUCUGCUGUGAAAGCCCUGGGCUUAACCUGGGAACGGCAGUGGAUACUGGUUGGCUAGAGUGUGGUAGAGGGUAGCGGAAUUUCCGGUGUAGCAGUGAAAUGCGUAGAGAUCGGAAGGAACACCAGUGGCGAAGGCGGCUAUCUGGACCAACACUGACGCUGAGGUGCGAAAGCGUGGGGAGCAAACAGGAUUAGAUACCCCGGUAGU